rnacentral:rRNA from 1 species
ACCCUACGGGGGGCAGCAGUGAGGAAUAUUGGUCAAUGGCCGAGAGGCUGAACCAGCCAAGUUGCGUGAGGGAAGAAUGUCCUAAGGAUUGUAAACCUCUUUUGCCGGGGAGCAAGGGCGGGGACGUGUCCCGGCCCGGAGAGUACCCGGAGAAAAAGCAUCGGCUAACUCCGUGCCAGCAGCCGCGGUAAUACGGAGGAUGCGAGCGUUAUCCGGAUUUAUUGGGUUUAAAGGGUGCGUAGGCGGGCUUUUAAGUCAGCGGUAAAAAUUCGGGGCUCAACCCCGUCCGGCCGUUGAAACUGGGG